rnacentral:rRNA from 1 species
AGUGAACGCUGGCGGUAGGCCUAACACAUGCAAGUCGAACGGCAGCACAGUAAGAGCUUGCUCUUACGGGUGGCGAGUGGCGGACGGGCGAGGAAUACAGCGGAAUCUACUUUUUCGUGGGGGUUAACGUAGGGAAACGUACGCUAAUACCGCAUACGCCCUACGGGUGAACGCAGGGGAUCUUCGGACCUUGCGCGACUGAAUUAGCCGAUGUCGGAUGAGCUAGUUGGCGGGGAAAUGGCCCACCAAGGCGACGAUGCGUAGCUGCUCUGAGAGGAUGAACCGCCAGCCGGGAAGUGAGACAGGGUCCACACUCCGACGCGAGGACACAGCGGGGAAUAUUAGACGAUGGGGGCAAGCGUGAUACAGCCAUACCGCGUGAGUGCAGAAGGACUUCGGGUUGGAAAGCCAUUUUGUUGGGAAAGAAGAGCAGCAGGUUAAUACCGCGCUGUUCUGACGGUACCCAAAGAAUAAGCACCGGCUAACUUCGUG